AGCAGCCACCUUUAAAAAAGCGUUAAAGCUUUAUUUUCCUUUUGUAUAAAUUCCACUACCUUACUACAACCCAUAAACCAUACUGAAUGAUUUCAUAACUGUAUGAAAGCCUAUAUGUUAGAACUAGUAACAAGAAGAAGCCCUUCUCCAAAAUGUAAGUAUAAGCCAAAAUGAACUACUCACUGGCAAUUAAAGUCAAUAAACUAUUAGUAGUAACUCAACAAGAAAAACCUACUAAUCACAACGUUAACCUUACACCAGCACAUUUCUGGAAAGAUUAAAAGGACGGGAAGGAACUCGGCAAACUACUAACCCCGCCUGUUUACCAAAAACAUCGCCUCUUGCUUCCCAUAAGAGGUCCAGCCUGCCCAGUGACAAAGUUAAACGGCCGCGGUACCCUAACCGUGCAAAGGUAGCGCAAUCACUUGUUCUUUAAAUGAGGACUAGUAUGAACGGCAUCACGAGGGUUAUGCUGUCUCCCCGCCCCAUUCAGUGAAACUGAUCUCCCCGUGAAGAAGCGGGGAUAAAAAUAUAAGACGAGAAGACCCCAUGGAGCUUUAAACUCAAAAUCAACUGCUACACAAAAUAACCUAAUAUUCAUGCAACUCUGAUUUCUAGUUUUCGGUUGGGGUGACCACGGAGUAAAAAUUAACCUCCACGAUGAAAGGAAAUAAUAACCUAAACCAAGAGCUACAGCUCUAAGUAUUAAUAAAUUAACCAAACUGAUCCAAUUACUUGAUCAACGAACCAAGUUACCCUGGGGAUAACAGCGCAAUCCAUUUCAAGAGCUCAUAUCGACAAAUGGGUUUACGACCUCGAUGUUGGAUCAGGAUAUCCCAGUGGCGCAGCCGCUACUAACGGUUC
rnacentral:rRNA from 1 species